CUUCCAUGUAUAAAGCUUGAUGUUUUCAAGGCUGGGUUUUACAUAAAAACCCCGUCAAUUUGAUGUUUUGCGUGACAACUAGAAAAAUAUUGACGUGGCCUUUCUUUAUACUAUUAUCAUGUAAUGGGCUAUUCCAUUUAAUAUCCGUACCCCCCCUGUCGAGGAUCCCUGGAAUUCUUCAGGGGUAAAGGGUUUUGAGGUUGGAAUUCUUCAUGGGUAAAGUGUUUUGAGGUUGGAAUUCUUCAGGGGUAAAGUGUUUUGAGGUUGGAAUUCUUCAGGGGUAAAGGGUUUUGAGCUUGGAAUUCUUCAGGGGUAAAGGGUUUUGAGCUUGGAAUUCUUCAGGGGUAAAAGGUUUUGAGCUUGGAAUUCUUCAGGGGUAAAGGGUUUUGAGCUUGGAAUUCUUCA